GUAAGCUAAAGCACAGUUUACGGUAAUUUUUUACUGAGGAAAUUCCACACACCAUAUUGAAACAUGAUGCUCUUAAUUGGCAUACACCGAGAGGUGUGACCCUGUCAUAGAAACGAUACGGUAGACUAUAACUUAGCGAUAAUAAAUGAUACAAUUGGGUUGAUUAGCUUAACUUUAGUAAUCGAUGAAACGAACAAUCCAUGUGGUGCAAAAGUAAACAUUGUAUUAUACAAAGGUGACUUGCUUAGAUAAAUGCUGUGAUAAACAUGAAGUGGAUUACUCUUAGCAUGC
rnacentral:RNase_P_RNA from 1 species